AGUGAACGCUGGCGGUAGGCCUAACACAUGCAAGUCGAACGGCAGCACAGGAGAGCUUGCUCUCUGGGUGGCGAGUGGCGGACGGGUGAGGAAUACAUCGGAAUCUACUCUGUCGUGGGGGAUAACGUAGGGAAACUUACGCUAAUACCGCAUACGACCUACGGGUGAAGGCAGGGGACCUUCGGGCCUUGCGCGAUUGAAUGAGCCGAUGUCGGAUUAGCUGGUUGGCGGGGUAAAGGCCCACCAAGGCGCCGAUCCGUAGCUGGUCUGAGAGAAUGAUCAGGCAACCUGGAACUGAGAGACGUUCCAGACUCCUACGGGAGGCAGGAGGGGGGAAUAUUGGACAAUGGGCGCAAGCCUGAUCCAGCCAUACCGCGUGGGUGAAGAAGGCCUUCGGGUUGUAAAGCCCUUUUGUUGGGAAAGAAAUCCAGCUGGCUAAUACCCGGUUGGGAUGACGGUACCCAAAGAAUAAGCACCGGCUAACUACGUGCCAGCAGCCGCCGUAA
rnacentral:rRNA from 1 species